CCUACGGGUGGCUGCAGUGGGGAAUAUUGGACAAUGGGGGAAACCCUGAUCCAGCAAUGCCGCGUGUGUGAAGAAGGCCUGCGGGUUGUAAAGCACUUUCGGUUGGGAAGAAAAGUUUGGCGCCAAUACCGCCGAACCUUGACGUUACUGACAGAAGAAGCACCGGCUAACUCUGUGCCAGCAGCCGCGGUAAGACAGAGGGUGCAAGCGUGAAUCGGAAUCACUGGGGGGAAAGCGCAAGUAGGGUGUGAACUCCCCGGGCUUAACCUGGGAACUGCAUUCGAUACUACAUGGCUAGAGUAUGGUAGAGGGGAGUGGAAUUUCCGGUGUAGCGGUGAAAUGCGUAGAUAUCGGAAGGAACACCAAUGGCGAAGGCAGCUUCCUGGACUAAUACUGACACUGAGGCACGAAAGCGUGGGUAGCAAACAGGAUUAGAUACCCCUGUAGUC
rnacentral:rRNA from 1 species